UUUACUGGGGGUCACAGUAAGAGCCAACAUCUUCACAACAGUCUACAAGCUGGAAGUCAGCAAUUCAGUCAUGAAAUGAGGACCUAAAUAAAGGCAGUGGUAAGAAGGACAGAGGAAAGAAGGAUAGAUUCAACGGAAAGACAGGAUCUGCAUCCUCCCUGCUGUCCACCCCCUAGAGCCUGUGCACUGGCUGCUCCUGUCUGCAAGGUUGCUGGGUCGAAACCUCCUCGGAGCUCCCGGGGUCGAAUGUGAAACUGGUCCCAGGCGCGGAGGGCAGGGAGAGACCGAAGGAAAAGGCAGCCCACUCCAGACUGGCGGGUGGCCACUCAGUAAGCAAGGGGACAGGGGUGCGAGCGCUGGUCCGGGAAGAUCCCACAUGCCGUGGAGCAACUAAGCCCGUGCGCGACAACUACUGAGCCUACGCUCUAGAGCCCGCGAGCCACACCUACUGAGCCCGUGUGCCACAACUACUGAAGCCCGCGUGCCUAGAGCCCGUGCUCUGCAACAAGAGAAGCCACCGCAAUGAGAAGCCCGCGCACCACAACGAAGAGUAGCCCCCGCUCACCGCAACUAGAGAAAGC